GACGAACGCUGGCGGCGUGCUUAACACAUGCAAGUCGAGCGGUAAGGCCCUUUCGGGGGUACACGAGCGGCGAACGGGUGAGUAACACGUGGGUGACCUGCCCUCAGCUCUGGGAUAAGCCUGGGAAACCGGGUCUAAUACUGGAUAUGACUCCAUGACGCAUGUUGUGGGGUGGAAAGCCUUGUGCGGCUGAGGGUGGGCCCGCGGCCUAUCAGCUUGUUGGUGGGGUGAUGGCCUACCAAGGCGACGACGGGUAGCCGGCCUGAGAGGGCGACCGGCCACACUGGGACUGAGACACGGCCCAGACUCCUACGGGAGGCAGCAGUGGGGAAUCUUGCGCAAUGGGCGAAAGCCUGACGCAGCGACGCCGCGUGAGGGAUGACGGCCU
rnacentral:rRNA from 1 species